rnacentral:piRNA from 1 species
UGGAAUAUGUGCCACUUUUCUGUGUUAUGUC